CCUGUCGCACUCUACCUUGGAUGUUGUACUUUUGGACACUAAAACACUGCAAAACCUGCAAGCUGACUUCUGUCUUUUGACGUCAAGACCUCCACUAAGAAGAGCGUUGCUGACACGUGGUGUCUUUUGCCGAAGGAUCCGUUGAAGCUUCGAGGAGUCCCCCAACCAAUUGGCUCGAGUGGUUCGAUGUUUCACGAGGCUUCAUCUGACCGUCACGACUGCUAGGCAAAGGAGCGUUUGAUUUGCUGACCCUAGCCCACAAUAAAGCUCUUUGUGUCCAAAGAAACCAAUGGACAAGCGAUGUGUGGUUUGAAACAGUGCGGAAUUGGUCGACACACCUCCCACCUCUCUCCCGCUGCAUGCCAAGAAGAUUAAAGGUAAAGUGCAUUUUAUUCGUGAUAAUUAUAGCAACCUGGCUGUUAAAGUUAAGGAGUUCUGUGACUUGAAACCAUAAGUGCAGCACAGGACUAGUGACAGUGUGUGUGCUUGUCGGCAGGGCGGCUGUGUACGAGUUACGCUAGUUGUUUUUUCUUUGUUAUUGAAUAGAGUUGAUCCAUCACCCCCUUAAGAUUUGUACUAGCUACUAAUUUUACCAACAUUUUGACAUUUUUCAAGACUGGAAUCCAUUAUUCAUGAUUGCAUUGUUUCUUAUGGAGGAAUUUGCUUGGAUAUGCAAACUUUUUUGUAUUGAUGAACACUGUUCA